AACCAAGCUAUAUGACAUGAAAAAAACUAUAAAAUUUCUACUAAUCAUAUCAUUCUAAAUCACUUCCUUUAUUCUCUUGUACAUAGUAAGAUUGGAAGUUAUUGGUCUGUAAUGUGAAAUUGCUAAUGAGUGUACAAGCCAGUUCCUGCAAACUAAAUCCAAAAACUAGAACUUUAACACGAACGAAUCAAACUUACCAGAACCGUAACAAUACAAACCUAAACCGAUUCUGAUUCGAUACCAUUGCUGCUUCUCUCUCUC
rnacentral:lncRNA from 1 species